AAGCUAUUAAGGGUGCAUGGUGGAUAUCUUGGCAGUAAGAGGCGACGAAGGACGCGUAUUAGACUGCGAAAUGCUUCGGGGAGCCGUCAAAUAGGCUUUGAUCCGGAGGUGUCCGAAUGGGGAAACCCUGCUACUGGAGACAGUAGUAACGGCAUGGUGAGUAAAGUAGCCAUGUGCGAGCGAACCGAGGGAACUGAAACAUCUAAGUACCUCGAGGAAGAUAAAUCAACCGAGAUUCCGCUAGUAGCGGCGAGCGAACGCGGACUAGGCCAAACCAGUAUGCUUGCAUGCUGGGGUUGUAGGACUUACAUCAAGGGGAAACUGGUAAGGGAACGAUCUGGGAAGGUCGACCAUAGAGAGUGAAAGUCUCGUACUUAAAACUGGUAGAACUGGGUAAGUAUCCUGAGUAGGACGGGACACGAGAAAUCUUGUCUGAAUCUGGGGGGACCACCCUCCAAGCCUAAAUACUCCUUACUGACCGAUAGUGAACAAGUACCGUGAGGGAAAGGUGAAAAGUACUCCGAAUAGG
rnacentral:rRNA from 1 species